rnacentral:snRNA from 1 species
GGAUCCGAAGGUGAUUUGGCUGCACUAUCUGCCACCUCUUUGUUCACCAGAGUUGAAACUGCUGAUCUGGUUGCCUAGACUGGUGUUUCCUUCCUCCCUCCUCACACCCCUCCAGAACCUGAGCACUCGGUCAAGAGGAUGACCUUCCCUUAUAGAAAAGAACCAGUCUUCUGUAAAGAAUAGAAGAGUAGCUGCACUUGCCUGCUAGAAAUUCCAGACAAUUUCUCAAGAUCCUUUUUUUUUCUUUUUCCUUUUCCUUCCUUUUUUUUUUUUUUUUGGAGACAGGGUCUCACACUCUCACCCAGAUUGGAGUGCAGUGGCCCGAUCUC